rnacentral:rRNA from 1 species
UACGAAGGGAGCUAGCGUUGUUCGGAAUUACUGGGCGUAAAGGGCGCGUAGGCGGUCGAAUAAGUCAGAUGUGAAAGCCCCGAGCUUAACUUGGGAACUGCAUUUGAUACUGUUUGACUAGAGAGUGAGAGAGGAAAGUGGAAUUACGAGUGUAGAGGUGAAAUUCGUAGAUAUUCGUAAGAACACCAGUGGCGAAGGCGACUUUCUGGCUCACAACUGACGCUAAGGCGCGAAAGCGUGGGGAGCAAACAGG